rnacentral:lncRNA from 1 species
AACACCAUACAUUGAGAUAACACACAUACAUUGUUUACAUGUUGUAUAUGUUCAUAAAUUUACACAAAAAUGACAUAAUGUAUGAAAUUUCAAAAUGCAGCAAUUAUCCAAGAUCCAUGGUCCAAAUACCUGCUCAUUGAGUCCCUGAGAAUACAAGUCGUUUUGAAAAGCGUCAACAUAGAAUGUUGGUGAGUUCAUAAGUAUUUUUGUAUGAAUAAGCUUUAUAACAUCUUUGUUUGUAAUAAUUUGUAAAACUCCAGAAAAUCCGAUAUUUUUUUAUGAAAAAUGGUUUGUAAGUCUCGUUCUAAAACUAUGAAUAAUUGCUUGCAUGUCCUUUGUAUUUGUAAAAAAAAAAUGUGUUUCCAGAAAAUCUAAUAUUUUCUGUUGUAUGAAAACCUACAGUCUUAAAACCCUAAGAUUGGAGUGGUGAUAAUAAUAUACUAGAAAAUGAAGCGUAGUUUUGUAUUCAAUAAAACUAGUAAAGUGUAUAUUUUUCCGUAAAUCCAAAAUGAUAUUGUUAAUCCCUCUGCGAUUCGUUACAACCAUGCUUGAUGUGAUUGAUAUGCAUGUCACGACGUUCUUCAGGCGUCGGUUUAGGUAAGAUAUUUGUCACCCUACACUGGCCCCGUCUAGCUGUAGCGAAAAGCUCAGGUUUGGGCAUGUCAACCCCGUAUAGAUCUAUACACAAUUACCUCGCUCUCCCUCUGCUAAGGACUUAUGGUUUAUGCUAGGUAGGUACGACGAAGGAAAGUCUCACAAGUGCCUUAACAGAUUUACACGAAAUUUGACUCCCAUUAUUGAAUAAUGAAUAUAACAUUACUAGUGUAAAUUCGUGAUUGAAGUUUUGUGACACGUGUUUUACAGCUUUAUGACAUACAACUUAUAACUUGCACUUUUAAAUGCUUUAUGAUGGACAGAUUAUGACACGCAGAUUUUUCUGUCGUAAAAAUUAUGCUUUGUAUAUCGUUUUAGUUGAAUUAUUUAUAACACUUUUUAUAAAUAAUUUCUAAUGGACUUGUCAAUUUGUAAUAUAUGUUGUGUAAAUAGAAUAAUUCUCUAAGUUUUUAAACCAUUAAAAUUAUGACAAAAUAUUACGACCAUUUUAUAAUAAAAAUCAUUUUUAACAAAAUAAACAAUUUUUUUGUAGUUUGUUCAACAUACCGAAUUUUUUUUGAAAGUUUUGUAAAACAACAUAUUCCAUUUUGUUGUGACCCUAACAUGUUACGAUUUCCACAAUAUAUAUAUAAAAUCAUGAAAUUUGUUACAUCCAUAUAUGGUGGUGUUUCUAAGAGAUUAACACACAACAAAAGUGUGUAAACAAGGAGUUGUUAUCAUAAAAAUGUUUAGAGCUACAAGAGUUACAUGAAGGUCUUACCAAAUUUAUGAACCUUUGAGGAAGAGUCUUUUGAAGAUGGCACCCACAUACCCAUGAAAUUUUAGAGGAAGAAUGAGAGAAGCUUAAGUUUUUGAGAGGAAGAAGUGGGAGGAUUUCUUGAGACUAAGUGAGGGAAAAUGAAGUUUCUAAGGUGUGUUGGAGGGGGGUCGGCCAAUCCUAAGAGAGAGGAGGGAGAAAGAAGUUGACUUUUGUGAUAUUUGAUGUGAGAGUUACAUGGAUAUAUGGAGGGUUAUAGCUUUGUUACAUGGGAGAAAAUUGUGAGGUGGCUAGGUAUUUUCGUUAUCUUUUUCUCUUUUUUUUUUGUUCAAACUCCAACCGACCCAUUGGGUUCUCGGCCCAAAGGGUGGCCCAAAAAGAAUUGGUUUCGAGUUUUGGCUUGGGUGAAUAGGAGUUUUCGGUCCAUUAAAGCCCAAAGGUAGGGGUUUUCGGUCCAUUAAGGUCUAAGGAAGGGUUUUCGGCCCAAUGGAAGGCCCAGUAGAAACUUUCGGCCCAAUAAAGCCCAAUGAAGAGUUAUCGGCCCAAUAGGACCCAAAGAAAGAUAAAGAAAGGUAUUCGGUCAAAUAAGGCCUAUAGAAAAAGUUUUGGUCCAAUACGGGUUUUGGGCCGAGAAUUCUUGGGCUAAGGCCCAAAAUUGAUUGGACUUAGCUAUUGGAUCGAGUUUUGGACUUGCAUGAGGUUGUUUCGACUUGAAUCACAAUGUAUGAACGUAUGAACUUGAAUACCAUUGUAGUUUGAAGUUCACUAAAUGGGAUGUUGCAGGUACUUCUUCCUCGAAGGGAAAGGAGCCAGCAUGACUGCAACGUAUCACACCAUGAUUUUGCACACUAUGAUGUUCUUGGGAUUUGUACUCUGACAUUAUUAUGGCUUGUUUUGAGAGAUAUGACUUAUGGGUUUUUAUGAUAUAAGAUAACUUAAAGAUAUUUUCACUAAUUUGUUUUAUGAAUUAUUAAACUAAAAAUGAAAUUUUUGGUCUUUGAUUUUGGGAUGUUACAAAUACACCUUUAAAAUGGCGUACACUGCCCCUUUACGAGCUCCAAAAGCUCCAUAAAUUUCAUCAUUUACCAAGAUAAAAUUUAUUCCAAUGAAUUGUACAAUACAUAAAAUCAUAAUAGUUUUGUUCAUAUAAAUGUAACUUACCAAUCAUCAUUGCCUUAAAUCAACCAUGAUAGCAUUCAUACAAAACACAUCAAUAAGUUUGGUUGCAACUAUUAAGGAUGAGUUGUUACCAGUAUUAACCUUCACUACAUAAUAUUUGCAAUGUCAAACAGCCAAAUCUACAAGGUUUGUCUGCUAACCUGCAACAAACACAAUGAAGAAUUAUCAGAAGUAAUACACUGAUCUUUCUACAAAAGACUAGAAUAAGAUCUGCAACAACAUAUAGACAACGAUUUUUAUGUCUUUACCCUUUAUGUGUAGGUCCAGAUCCAAAAACAUGAAAUGUAACCCAUUAGAGAUUCAAAUCUGACAAGAUAAAUAAAUAAAUAAAUAUAUAUAUAUAUAUGNNNNNNNNNNNNNNNNNNNNNNNNNNNNNNNNNNNNNNNNNNNNNNNNNNNNNNNNNNNNNNNNNNNNNNNNNNNNNNNNNNNNNNNNNNNNNNNNNNNNNNNNNNNNNNNNNNNNNNNNNNNNNNNNNNNNNNNNNNNNNNNNNNNNNNNAUAUAUAUAUAUAUAUAUAUAUAUAUAUAUAUAUAUAUAUAUAUAUAUACAAACACAUAAUGGUGAUCCGUUAGGGUUUUCUUACGAUAGAAAGGAGAGUGUGACAUUUUUUUGAAAGGAGACAACAAUAAAUGUGGGUUACCUGUUCCUUGCCCAAAUCAGAUCAAAGAGAUGUCUUUCCAACCCUAAAUCAAGCCCAAUGGAGUCUGGCAUCUAGUAGCAAGUCUGCAGUGAUGAAAUAUGUAUCAUUGUUAAAUCAUAUGAUAAAUGAAGAGUCCCUUUUUUUUUGCAAGAACAAAAGCUGAAUGAUCUGAUGGUUGUGAGGUUUCGACCAAUUAUACCCAAAACAUCAUAGAAAUAUAGGUCAAACAUAGUACCUGAGAUUAAAACUUCAAAUAUAGACAUCAAUGUCAAAUAAUGAGAGAAUAGGAGCAUAGGCUAGAUGUCGUUUGAUGUUGGGGAAAUAUGGCAGUGGUGACCGGUGGUGAGAUGAAGUGUGACGGUGAUGAAGGUGGCUUGUUUGAUGAUAUGGAAGUUUAGGUGAUGGCAGAUUUUAUUGAUGGUGGGUUGUGAUAUUUGAUAUUAGAAUUUCUAAAGGAUAGAUGCGAGAGAUGAGAAAGUCGGAGGCGUUUAGCAAGGACUGUGAUAUAUGUUCCUUAUUUUAAAGAGAUAAGGGGCCAAAUUUGGUAAUUAGAACAAUCUACAGAUCGAAGCAAUUUAAGGAGACAUGGCCG